UCCAGUGUAUUUUAGUGGUUUGAACAUUGGAAUAUGACUCUAGAGACCAGGGUUCAAAUCCCAGCUCAGCCA